GGGCCAAUAGCUCAGUUGGUAGAGCGCUACUAUCGCACAGUAGAGGUCAGGGGUUCAAUUCCCCUUUGGUCCA
rnacentral:tRNA from 1 species